UCUCCGUAGGUGAACCUGCGGAGGGAUCACUACAGGCUUGCAAACGCUCUGAAACCACUGUUCAUCUCACUGAAUCUGCUUCGACGGUUGCCCCCACGGCGCGGCCCUAGCCGCCGGGCGCCCACCGAAUACCACUAAAAUCGGUCGUCUUCAGAAUCUCUGAGUAAUUAUAUUAUAUAAAAACAACUUUCAACAACGGAUCUCUUGGCUCUG
rnacentral:misc_RNA from 1 species